rnacentral:rRNA from 1 species
AUUGAACGCUGGCGGCAUGCCCUACACAUGCAAGUCGAACGGCAGCACGGGUGCUUGCACCUGGUGGCGAGUGGCGAACGGGUGAGUAAUACAUCGGAACGUACCUUAUCGUGGGGGAUAACGCAGCGAAAGCUGUGCUAAUACCGCAUACGCCCUGAGGGGGAAAGCGGGGGAUCGCAAGACCUCGCGCGAUUAGAGCGGCCGAUGCCUGAUUAGCUUGUUGGUGGGGUAAAAGCCCACCAAGGCGACGAUCAGUAGCUGGUCUGAGAGGACGAUCAGCCACACUGGGACUGAGACACGGCCCAGACUCCUACGGGAGGCAGCAGUGGGGAAUUUUGGACAAUGGGGGCAACCCUGAUCCAGCAAUGCCGCGUGAGUGAAGAAGGCCUUCGGGUUGUAAAGCUCUUUUGUCAGGGAAGAAACACCGGCUCUAACACAGUCCGGGAAUGACGGUACCUGAAGGAUAAGCACCGGCUAACUACGUGCCAGCCGCCGCGGUAA